rnacentral:rRNA from 1 species
AUGAACGCUGGCGGCGUGCCUAAUACAUGCCAGUCGAGCGAACGGACGAGAAGCUUGCUUCUCUGAUGUUAGCGGCGGACGGGCGAGUAACACGUGGAUAACCUACCUAUAAGACUGGGAUAACUUCGGGAAACCGGAGCUAAUACCGGAUAAUAUUUUGAACCGCAUGGUUCAAAAGUGAAAGACGGUCUUGCUGUCACUUAUAGAUGGAUCCGCGCUGCAUUAGCUAGUUGGUAAGGUAACGGCUUACCAAGGCAACGAUGCAUAGCCGACCUGAGAGGGUGAUCGGCCACACUGGAACUGAGACACGGUCCAGACUCCUACGGGAGGCAGCAGUAGGGAAUCUUCCGCAAUGGGCGAAAGCCUGACGGAGCAACGCCGCGUGAGUGAUGAAGGUCUUCGGAUCGUAAAACUCUGUUAUUAGGGAAGAACAUAUGUGUAAGUAACUGUGCACAUCUUGACGGUACCUAAUCAGAAAGCCACGGCUAACUACGUG